rnacentral:rRNA from 1 species
GAUGAACGCUAGCGGGAGGCUUAACACAUGCAAGUCGAGGGGCAGCAUAGGGUAGCAAUACUCUGAUGGCGACCGGCAAACGGGUGAGUAACGCGUAUGCAACCUACCCUGUACAGGGGGAUAACCCGGAGAAAUUCGGACUAAUAUCCCGUAAUAAUAUCCGGAGGCAUCUUUGGAUAUUUAAAGUUUCGACGGUACGGGAUGGGCAUGCGUAACAUUAGCUGGUUGGUAAGGUAACGGCUUACCAAGGCUAUGAUGUUUAGGGGUCCUGAGAGGGUGGUCCCCCACACUGGUACUGAGACACGGACCAGACUCCUACGGGAGGCAGCAGUGAGGAAUAUUGGUCAAUGGGCGCAAGCCUGAACCAGCCAUCCCGCGUGCAGGAAGACGGCCCUAUGGGUUGUAAACUGCUUUUCCAGGGAGAGAAACUUACGCACGUGUUGCGUGACUGACGGUACCCUGGGAAUAAGCAUCGGCUAACUCCGUG